CCGGAGGCUACCGCUAUUGGAGUUCGAUUAAGCCAUGCGAGUCGCGAGUCUUAGGGACUCGGCGUACCGCUCAGUAACACGUGGGUAACCUGCCCUAUGCUGGGGGAUAACCUCGGGAAACUGAGAAUAAUACCCCAUAGUUCACCACGCCUGGAACGGUUGGUGGACCAAAGCUCCGGCGGCAUAGGAUGGGCCUGCGGCGUAUCAGGUUGUAGGGGGUGUAAUGUACCCUCUAGCCCUCUACGCGUACGGGUGUUGAGAGACAUCGCCCGGAGAUGGAUUCUGAGACACGAAUCCAGACCCUACGGGGUGCAGCAGGCGCGAAAACUUGGCAAUGCGAGAAAUCGUGACCAGGGAACUCCAAGUGCAUCGGGUAAGACCGAUGCUUUUCUUGACUCUUCAAAGGUCUUGGAAUAAGGGGUGGGUAAGGACGGUGCCAGCCGCCGCGGUAAUACCGGCGCCCCAAGUGGUAGUCGCUUUUAUUGGGCCUAAAACGUCCGUAGCCGGUCUGGUACAUUCGUGGGUAAAUCAACCAGCUCAACUGGUUGAAUUCUGCGAGCACGGCCAGACUUGGGACCGGGAGAGGUGUGGGGUACUCUCAGGGUAGGGGUAAAAUCCUGUCAUCCUGAGAGGACCACCUGUUGCGAAGGCGCCACACUAGAACGGAUCCGACGGUCAGGGACGAAGCCUAGGGGCACGAACCGGAUUAGAUACCCGGGUAGUCCUAGGUGUAAACGCUGUGGACUUGAUGUUGGGGGCGCUCCGAGCGCACUCAGUGUCGAAGCGAAGGUGAUAAGUCCACUGCCUGGGGAGUACGGUCGCAAGGCUGAAACUUAAAGGAAUUGGCGGGGGAGCACCGCAACCUGAGGAUUGUGCGGUUUAAUUGGAUCAACGCCGGG
rnacentral:rRNA from 1 species